CGAUGCCCCAUCAACCCCAGACUUUAACACAGUACGAGGCACUUGUCUCACUGAUCUGAUUGCAUCCUGCAAGGUUUCGGGAUCUUCUAUCAGAAAUCAGCAAUUUGUGUAGCGUAUGAGGCUCCCGAGGGUGAGCUGUGCCUAGAGUUGUGUCCCCUUCUGGACUGUGGCCUAGUUGAGUGGUGGCUGGCUGUAGAACCGAGACUGCAGUUCUGUUUCAUCUGCCGCAUUGCCUUUCUGCGUUUCCUCACUGGCGAUACCAAUGGGGUGUUGAUAGGAGCAGGUGCCUCUGGCAGAGGGCAUGGGCCAGAAAUCUUCAGCUGCUACACAUUUCUCUCCUUUAUUGCUCAGUUCUGUCCAGAAUUAUGUCCACAGCCGCUAAAAGGCUCUUUCAAGUUGCUCCUCAUAGAAGGCCCUUGUUGCAGUGGCUUGUGAAGCUAUUGACUCCUCAUCUGCGGCCAUCUUGGCAUUUAGGUCUCUGAUGAGUGACUCUGCGGGAUUUACAGUUCCUCGCAAUAUAGAGUAAUGCUUCAGGUCAGGAUGUGGGUAGGCAUCAGGUUUAACAGUGGUAGGGACCGGUAUAACCACCACCGGUCCAAAUUGGGGGAUACAGGACUCGCACCCACACCAGCCUGCAAUGCAGAGAAGUCAGGGCUUCGCAGCCAGAAAUAACAAGUGUGCUCCAGCAAAACCUCCCAGUUGCUCCAGGACAUCACUAGAUCUCUAUCGGAGAUAAGAUUUUAG